GACGAACGCUGGCGGCGUGCCUAACACAUGCAAGUCGUACGGAGUUCACUUGGAAGCUUGCUUCCGAGUGAACUUAGUGGCGGACGGGUGAGUAACGCGUGAGCAACCUGCCUCACAGAGGGGGAUAACACACGGAAACGUGUGCUAAUACCGCAUAAUCCGAUGAAGCGGCAUCGCUUUAUCGGCAAAGGAGCAAUCCGCUGUGAGAUGGGCUCGCGUCCGAUUAGAUAGUUGGUGAGGUAACGGCUCACCAAGUCUACGAUCGGUAGCCGGACUGAGAGGUUGGACGGCCACAUUGGGACUGAGACACGGCCCAAACUCCUACGGGAGGCAGCAGUGAGGGAUAUUGCACAAUGGGCGAAAGCCUGAUGCAGCGACGCCGCGUGAGGGAUGACGGUCUUCGGAUUGUAAACCUCUGUCCUUGGUGAAGAAGAAAGUGACGGUAGCCAAGGAGGAAGCCACGGCUAACUACGUG
rnacentral:rRNA from 2 species